rnacentral:rRNA from 1 species
AAAACUUACCAGGUCAAGACAUGGGCGUGAUUGACAGGCUAAUGACUUUUCUCGAUUCCAUGGAUGGUGGUGCAUGGUCGCACUUAGUUGGUGCAGUGAUUUGUCAGGUUUAUUCCGGUAACGAACGAGACCUCGGCCUUGUAAAUAGCUAUGCUGCUUACAGGGACAUUGGCGGCUACGCCAAGGAAGCUCGAGGCAAUUGCAGAUCUGGAAUGCCCUUAGAUGUCCUGGGUCGCACGCGUGCUACAAUGACGCCACGAACGAGCUUGCGUGAUGAAAGUUACGCAUAAUCAGCAGUCGGCGUCUUAAGGGAUAGUCUCUUGUAACUGUGGGACUCCAACUGGGAAUGUCUCGUAAGCACAAGUCAACAUCUUGUGUUGAUUACGUCCCUGCUCUUUGUACACACCGCCCGUCGCUCCUACCGAUCGAGUGUUUAGGUGAAUUUGAUGGACGUAAGGAAGUCAAAUAAACCUGAGCACUAGAGAAGAGAGUCGAGUGCC